rnacentral:lncRNA from 1 species
CAGACCCAGCUUACCUUCCUACUCCCCAGCUUCUCUUCACCUUUUGAAACCGAAUCCUCCUUGCUGUCUCUAUGGUGACAGUGACGUCCACGUCCCCCUGAUGAGAUGGCUGCUGGCACGCACAUCAGGUGCCAGAGCAAAUCCGUCAGCAAUAGAAACCUCUCCAGCUCCUCCAUGGGACAAAGAUGCUCUUCUCCAGAACUCAGACAAACAACCUGAUAACCUACACAGAAUGGACCAAUUAAAGGUAAUUUCUGCCAGAGUGUUUGACAGUGAGAAGGUACUUGCGUCAUGAAGCAGAGGUAGCUGAUAAGCAGCAUGAUGAAAACCUCCUGCAAUGCCCAUUCACCUGGCACAUGGUACCAGCAGUGACAGAAGGAUGUUUCUUGGCACAUGUACUUGAGCAGAAAUCCAGCUGAAGGAAAGCAAUGUGGAGAAUCUCACGGUGUGAAGCGACAUCUGCAUCAGAGACUACCUCACAAACACCCAUUUUGGAGACAGAAAAGAGUUUUCUACUGCUACAUCACUGUACCCAGUUCCUCUGAUCUACAGAAAAGGCAAAUUAAGUUUGUCACUAAUAAACCAG